AUUGAACGCUGGCGGCAGGCCUAACACAUGCAAGUCGAACGAGUGGCGUACUUGUGAGUAAUGUCGGGGAAACUGCCUGCUGGAGGGGGAUAACUACUGGAAACGGUAGCUAAUACCGCAUACUAUCGGGUGUGCCCAGAUGGGAUUAGCUAGUAGGGGGGGUAAAGGCGCACCUAGGCGACGAUCCCUAGCUGGUCUGAGAGGAUGACCGGCCACACUGGAACUGAGAAACGGUCCAGACUCCGAGGGAAGGCAGCAGUGGGGAAUAUUGCACAAUGGGCGAAAGCCGGAUGCAGCCAUGCCGCGUGUAUGAAGAAGGCCUUCGGGUUGUAAAGUACUUUCAGCGGGGAGGCGUUACCCGCAGAAGAAGCACCGGCUAACUCCGUGCCAGCAGCCGCGGUAAUUC
rnacentral:rRNA from 1 species